rnacentral:hammerhead_ribozyme from 1 species
AUCCAACUGACGAGUGCCAAGUAGGACGAAACGCGCGUCAACCUGGAU